UUAGGUUAAGUUAUGAAGGGCGCACGGUGGAUGCCUUGGCACUAGGAGCCGAUGAAGGACGGGACUAACA
rnacentral:rRNA from 1 species